rnacentral:lncRNA from 1 species
GGCCACAUGGUAUUUGCAAUUACAUUGAAGGUAUAUAUAUAUUAGCAAAGAUGUUAGUACUCCAAAACCUAGUAUGAAAACCAAAAUUGUAUGUUAUAAUUGUGAAAGACAAGGUCACAUUAACAAAUAUGGUAGGCUGAAAAAGAAACCUUAAUUUAGGUUCAUCCAUAGAAGAACGGAUUAAUAAUCUGCUCAUUGAAACCUUAGAGGAAGAAACCGAAGAUGUAUCCUCUGAAGAAAAUCUUAAUCUAAUUCAACAGGACGAUCAACCAUCAUUUAUGGAUAAUGAAGAUAUCCAAGAAAUCAAUAUGACAGAAUAGUCAGAUAGAUGGUAGAGAGAGAAGCUCUUGGAAACACUCUUUGUAAGCUUUUCUUUCGUUAAUAAAUUUUCAAGCUCUUUCUUUCAUAUCUCUUCUUCCUCUUGACUGAUCAUGUGCAGCUUUGUCAUCGCUUCAAUUUCUUCUCUUCCUCCCCCUAACAGAUCCAAUGCGACUCUGUCGCCAUUUCUGUUUUCUUUUUAAUGUUUUUGUUUUAAAUCUUUGCAUGUUUACUUAAUUUGUUUUUAUAUUGAUUAUUUUCUUCAUAUUUUGUCUGCCUUGUUUGAUUAUUGUUCUUACCUCUCAUCUGUCUGUUUGAUCUCUUUCCGUUGAUCUCUGAUAUCAGAGCCUGAUGGGGAGGUAGGAAUAUAAUUUGUAAGGAAAUAUGUUAACUGACAUGGAUUUGAAAUUUUGUACAAUAAAUGUUUUUGUUUUCGUUCAUGUACAGUAACGUUAAUCUAAACAAUAUGUGUUUGAACAGUAUUCUUGUUUUCAAGGGUAAUCUAGAUAACAUUGGUUGUUGGAUCACGUAUGAUGUCUUGUUUCCAAGGAUAAUCUAGAUUUUCUCUAAUGGUAUAAGCAUGAAACCAAUCAAAGAAAUGAAUGUUAAUUUUGACUCUUUCGACAAACUCAUAGAAUUUGUUUUGGAUUUGUUUUCUUUUUGUACCUUUAAAAUGUUGAAAAAACCAUCUCCUAUGAGGUUCAUUCUCUGGAGAAUAAAAGUCUUUUCUAAAGAUUUCUUUAUCAAUGCUAAAUUUGUCAAAUAACAUCAUAAGGUUCAUGCAUAAAGGAAUAUGUUGGAGAUUGGAUUGAUUUUUGGUCAUCCUCUUGUUCUUGAUUAUAUGUGGUUCUAGGUAUACUAGAAGUUGUAUCUAAUCCUUAGAGGUUUAUACUUGGAAACUGAUUAUGUGACUCAGAUCUAGAUAACCCUAUUGGAAUUAAUCGGGUUCUUACCAAGAAAGACCUUAUUGCUAAUUCAUACUCGGAUCUUGAGGCUUCUAUUCUAGAUGAGAAAGAGUUUCUUCUAUUGAAGGUUAUUUCUACCUUACCGGAAUUAUCCUGCUUUAUUUGUUCUAUGGUUGGAACGGGUUUGGGAACUGACAGUGUGGCCUUGUCCAUGACCCAUUUUUCAGGAAGAGUUACUUCAUCCCAUUUUAUGGUUCUUAGGAGAGAAACAUUAGCCUUUAUCAUAUCAGUGAUAAACGAAGUUGUCUCUCCUCUUUGAGGUUUUAGAAGGACUCUUGACGCACAAGUGUUCAUGACCUUAUACUAGAUCCUAUAAAUAAAAUUAAGGCUGCUGGAAUUGAUCCUUCUUUCAUGUCAAGUCCAUGAAAGUGGAUAUUUAAGAACAGAGAGUCAAGAAUGUUUCUAUCCAUCAGACUCACUGUUUUGUUUUGGUAAUAGUUGAAAUAGACUGGUCCUUGCUCUAGACUUGUUUCUACUGUUCCUAUUAAAGAAUCUUCAAAUUUGUCGUGCCUAAUAUAUCUAAGACACAUUAAGACGGUUGCAUCUAUACCCAUGUCAAUUAAGGGUUUGAUUGUCACUUGCACACAUCCUAUGUGUAGGUAUUUGUAUUUUCUGCUAUGUUUGAAGAUUGAAUUCUUUGAUAAUAAAUGAAAUCCUUCUCCUAUGUCUUGUCCUAGAGGAAUAUUAUUUUCUACAGUCUUAAUCAAAACUGUGUUUAUCUUUGAUUGUCUCAGGAACAUACAGUGUGUCCUAAGGGAUUUCUGGAAUACUCCAGUCAUCCAUGUUUUUGUUUUUCUCCUCAAAUCGAACUUCUUCGUCGAAGAAAUUAUGUUUUGGAGUGACCUCGUGGGUCUAAUUGUCUUGCUCAGUGAGCAAAUUUAAGUUUCUUGAGCUAGAGUUUAAGGAUGAAGAUGAUGAAUUUGUACAAAAAGAAAUAUGAGAAAAUGUUCGUAACAGAUGAGACAUAUUAUUUUUCAUCCUCUAGUAUCUUUGCUUUCAUGUGGUUCCAUAGAAAUAUCUCCAUAAGGUUAUAUGUUACUAAGUUUUUUGGAUCUGGAAAAAUAAAAAUUUUAACUCUUUUUUUUUAAUACGUACGAUUUGAACAUUACUCCUAUAGCCACCAAUAUAUUAUAUCUUAAUAUUUUAUUUGAACAACACACCUUAAUCUUAUUAUCCUUUCUCAUCUAUAAGACUUACUGCUACAAUAUCAUUCAACUAAAAUAUAAACUAUUGUAUUUCCAAGAAUAUUGUUCAAACACAUAUUGUUUAGAUUAAAAUUACUAUACAUGAACGAAAACAUUUAUUAUACAAAAUUUCAUAUCCAUAAAAUUAGUUAACAUAUAUAUUCUUUCUAGUUCAAUGUAUGUUCAGAAUCAGGGAUGAUAGCGUCUGAUAGGGUGCCACUCUACCAUCUCUGGACAUGACAGCCUAGACGUACUUUAUUACAAUGUGGACUAGAAGUGGCCUUCACUGUUUAUUUGGAAGGGUUAGUACAAGCAACAUACAAACACAAAUAGUGAGAGUAGAUCCUAGUGAUGAAUGUUUUUAGACAAUAUAACCAUGAUCCACCCGUACGUAUUAGGUAGUAUAUAUGGAAAAUCCCAUUCAUAACUUUAAAACUCAUGUUUCUAAGGAAUUCAAGGAUGAAUUUAUUUCAUACAAUGAGAUGAGUUCACAUAUAUAUAGUACUCUCUCUCAUAACCCUUUUAUGAUUUGCAAGUUGUUAAUUUCAUGGCACUAAAUGAUUUAUAUACUUUAAAUUUAUCAAGAAAUUGUAAGAUCGCGUAUAUAAUUAGAUUGUUGAUCUAUUAGCAAGUUCUUUUUUUCUCUAGCAUAUAGUAAAUCAUAAAGAAAGAAAUCAUCAAGCUUCCAACUUUUUAAGAAUGUCAUGUUGAGGAACUUAUGUGCUUAACUCCCUUACAAGAUAGCUAUUGCUUGGGCCUGAAAUUUAAUGAUGAAUAGGGAUUUCAGAUUUGACAAAACUGGGAUCAAGACAAAUAUUUUUAAUAAAAAAAAAAUGCUUAGUGAACUCAUGAUACUUUGGGAGAACGGCACACCUUUAUGACACCAUGAAGCUUAACAAAUUUAAUAAACUAUAUAUGUGGCUUGAAAGUUGAAAAGGCUUUGGAUGAGGAUGCGAAAGAGCACAAGGUAUCAUACAUUAAAAGAAGCAUGUAUCCUAGACAUGGAAAAUGGACGCUUUAACACCUUGUAGCUCUAUGACUACUCUCUGACGAGUGGCUCUCUCUAGUUCACUCCC